CUGCAGGUUAAUGAUUGAUCAAAUAAUAUCACAUAAGGGGGAGGAGCUGACCUUUGACCUGUGAGCUUCAGACUCUGGUGUGAAGUGUUUAAUGUGACUUCAGCCUGCAGACACAGAGGACUGAUGACGGAGAAGAAGCAGAGGAUUUUCUCUGUUUCUACACAGACCUGGUCCAGACAGCAGAGCGCUGCAGAGUGAAGACGUUCAUGGGAAGAAGCUGAGUGAAGGUAGAAAGUGUGUGUGAGCUGAUGUGAAUUGA